rnacentral:tRNA from 1 species
GGGGCUGUAGCUCAGUUGGUUAGAGCAGGGGACUCAUAAUCCCUUUGUCGUGGGUUCGAGCCCCACCGGCCCUACCU